rnacentral:tRNA from 1 species
GCCUUCGUGGUGUAAUGGUAGAAAACUCGGCGCGUAAUCGAGAGGUCCAGGUUCGAAACCCAGCGAGGGCA